rnacentral:rRNA from 1 species
AAUCAGUGUGUGUGUUAGUGGAAGCGUCUGGAAAGGCGCGCGAUACAGGGUGACAGCCCCGUACACAAAAAUGCACAUGCUGUGAGCUCGAUGAGUAGGGCGGGACACGUGGUAUCCUGUCUGAAUAUGGGGGGACCAUCCUCCAAGGCUAAAUACUCCUGACUGACCGAUAGUGAACCAGUACCGUGAGGGAAAGGCGAAAAGAACCCCGGCGAGGGGAGUGAAAAAGAACCUGAAACCGUGUACGUACAAGCAGUGGGAGCACGCUUAGGCGUGUGACUGCGUACCUUUUGUAUAAUGGGUCAGCGACUUAUAUUCUGUAGCAAGGUUAACCGAAUAGGGGAGCCGAAGGGAAACCGAGUCUUAACUGGGCGUUAAGUUGCAGGGUAUAGACCCGAAACCCGGUGAUCUAGCCAUGGGCAGGUUGAAGGUUGGGUAACACUAACUGGAGGACCGAACCGACUAAUGUUGAAAAAUUAGCGGAUGACUUGUGGCUGGGGGUGAAAGGCCAAUCAAACCGGGAGAUAGCUGGUUCUCCCCGAAAGCUAUUUAGGUAGCGCCUCGUGAAUUCAUCUCCGGGGGUAGAGCACUGUUUCGGCAAGGGGGUCAUCCCGACUUACCAACCCGAUGCAAACUGCGAAUACCGGAGAAUGUUAUCACGGGAGACACACGGCGGGUGCUAACGUCCGUCGUGAAGAGGGAAACAACCCAGACCGCCAGCUAAGGUCCCAAAGUCAUGGUUAAGUGGGAAACGAUGUGGGAAGGCCCAGACAGCCAGGAUGUUGGCUUAGAAGCAGCCAUCAUUUAAAGAAAGCGUAAUAGCUCACUGGUCGAGUCGGCCUGCGCGGAAGAUGUAACGGGGCUAAACCAUGCACCGAAGCUGCGGCAGCGACGCUGAUGCGUUGUUGGGUAGGGGAGCGUUCUGUAAGCCUGUGAAGGUGUGCUGUGAGGCAUGCUGGAGGUAUCAGAAGUGCGAAUGCUGACAUAAGUAACGAUAAAGCGGGUGAAAAGCCCGCUCGCCGGAAGACCAAGGGUUCCUGUCCAACGUUAAUCGGGGCAGGGUGAGUCGACCCCUAAGGCGAGGCCGAAAGGCGUAGUCGAUGGGAAACAGGUUAAUAUUCCUGUACUUGGUGUUACUGCGAAGGGGGGACGGAGAAGGCUAUGUUGGCCGGGCGACGGUUGUCCCGGUUUAAGCGUGUAGGCUGGUUUUCCAGGCAAAUCCGGAAAAUCAAGGCUGAGGCGUGAUGACGAGGCACUACGGUGCUGAAGCAACAAAUGCCCUGCUUCCAGGAAAAGCCUCUAAGCAUCAGGUAACAUCAAAUCGUACCCCAAACCGACACAGGUGGUCAGGUAGAGAAUACCAAGGCGCUUGAGAGAACUCGGGUGAAGGAACUAGGCAAAAUGGUGCCGUAACUUCGGGAGAAGGCACGCUGAUAUGUAGGUGAAGCGACUUGCUCGUGGAGCUGAAAUCAGUCGAAGAUACCAGCUGGCUGCAACUGUUUAUUAAAAACACAGCACUGUGCAAACACGAAAGUGGACGUAUACGGUGUGACGCCUGCCCGGUGCCGGAAGGUUAAUUGAUGGGGUCAGCGCAAGCGAAGCUCUUGAUCGAAGCCCCGGUAAACGGCGGCCGUAACUAUAACGGUCCUAAGGUAGCGAAAUUCCUUGUCGGGUAAGUUCCGACCUGCACGAAUGGCGUAAUGAUGGCCAGGCUGUCUCCACCCGAGACUCAGUGAAAUUGAACUCGCUGUGAAGAUGCAGUGUACCCGCGGCAAGACGGAAAGACCCCGUGAACCUUUACUAUAGCUUGACACUGAACAUUGAGCCUUGAUGUGUAGGAUAGGUGGGAGGCUUUGAAGUGUGG